UUCAUCUUGUCUAUAUUUCUGUGAAUGUGGUUUUUGUUCCACAGGCUGCAGGAUUGUAGUUCUUCUUGUUUCUGCUGUCUGCCCUCUGGUGGAUGAGGCUAUCUAAGAGGCUUGUGUAAGUUUCCUGAUGGGAGGGACUGGUGGUGGUUAGAGCUGAUUGUUGCUCUGGUGGGCAGAGCUCAGUAAAACUUUAAUCUGCUUGACUGUUGAUGGGUGGGGCUGGGUUCCCUCCCUGUUGGUUGUUUGGCCUGAGGCAGCACAACACUGGAGCCUACCUGUGCUCUUUGGUGGGGCUAAUGACAGACUCUGGGAGGACUCACACCAAGGAGUACUUCUCAAAACUUCUGCUGCCAGUGUCCUUGUCCCCACGGUGAGCCACAGCCACCCCCAUCUCUGCAGGAGACCCUCCAACACUAGCAGGUCCAGACACAUCUGGAGCAAUAUGUUUCAACUGUUAAAUCAAAAUCAUUAGUGAAUUAGGAAGUCUAUUUACUAUGUACUGACCAACAGUAAAAAAAAUAAAUAAAUAAACAAAAUAAAAUAGAAAGGAGUAGAAUAGAAUGAAAUGAACAACGAGGAAGCUAUCUGCAUGUUUCACAUAUUAUAAGCUCCCACUAAAUCUGUAGGCCCAGCUUCCAGAGAUAAUUUACACGUAUAUUAUAAUGGAGAGAAGACGUAAUGUACGAUGGAUUUGUGUGUGAAAUCUCUCUUUGUUCAAAAGGUAUUCCUUCUUUCCUCCUCCUUAUUCCUCUCCAUUGACCUGGUCUCGAUGAUGUAGCAGAACUGGGACUAGAUGUUCCCGUGGUUGUAGGAGAGGCAGUGGCUGGGUCCCAAUGCCUCCCACCACGGGUUGCCCUGUCAUCCCUGCAGAACUGUGGCUAAAGAGUACCAACAAAUCCCGUGGUGUGCACCCCGCAGAAAGUGCAGGUCCUGCACUGCUUGCAGUUGAAAAGGAAAUUUAUCUCACCAGUGGAGAGUAAAAAACAAAUUUUGUUUGCACUGUUUUGGAUAAGGAAGUGGUGGACUAAUAUUAGAAUAGCCUUUGACUGUUGUCUCUUAGUGUCCUGAAGUAUUGAUGAUUAUGAAGAAUUUAAAAGCCAUUUUGUCUAGAGUAUACGGUUGUCUGAUUUCACCAAGGUCCUGAAGCAAUUUUAUUUUCCUCUUUCACUUUGCUAUUGCAAAACAGAUGUUACCGUAGUUUAACAGUAGAGUUUUGCCACGACAUACCACAUUUUUUCGACAUGCAUAACAGUGGCAGGGGAUUUAAGACCAAUUUUAAUAACUGAAGGAUUCAAAAUGUCUUUCAAUGCCAUAAUUGUACAAAAAUAUUGGAUGUGACUCCUGUGUAGCUAGCUGGUAUAUAAAAAUCAUUCUUUUAAUUUUUAUAUUAAAAGAUAUUUUAAUUUUAUAAAAGAUAUUUUAUAGUUUUUAUACAUCCCUACUACGAAAGGUUGUGAAAUUGCCAUAUAAAAUAAGUAUCAAAAUAUAAGAUAAAAAAGAGAGGAAAAGCUGCACACUUUUUAUAACCAAGAUCAUCUUUAAGCUCAAAGCCAAACAUGCAAAUUCUAACAUUUCCCCUAAAUCUGCCACAUAACCAGGAGUCUUUUGGAGAGACUAAAAAUAAGCAAAAUGUGAAAAGGAAACAAUUCUAAAUUCCAUGCGUGAUAGCCAGGUUCAGAAGAACCCCAAGAAAUUUAAAUUCAGCUAAUGGGUUUAUAGUGAGCAACCCAGAGAAUUAAAGAUCCUUAGGCAGCUCUUCUUUCCAUUUGAAACUAUAUCCUGUUGCCUGGUUAAGGUUUUGCAUUUUUAAGAGGCUGUGGCAGGUGCUUACAAUGUGCACAUUUCAGUUUAAUUUCCAUCUGGGUGAACAAGAAGUCAGCUGCCUGGAGCUGAGGCAUAUUUACCGUGGACACAGGUAAAUUUGCUCAAACUGCUCUAAGUGUAAAGAGAAUAAAGGCUUAGUUGAGUAAAGAGAGAGCACAAAAACUCACUGGGAUUAGGAAUGAUGGGUUAGACAAAUAUUCUUUGUAGCAUUUGAUAUUUGCAAUAUGGAAAUGAAAUGCAGAUCAGAAGAACUGACUCUUGGACUUCUUAAAACGCAGUGUCUCCUAAAGUUCCUUUAAACGAAAACAUCUAAGUUACAUUUCUAUGUAGCUUGAGUGUACUAAGUUUACUAUCACUAUAAGGUAUUUUUUAAAACUCUAUAGAUGGGGUUUUGUGAAAACUAGUCCCGCAUUGAAGAGAACUAUUGUAUCGUGAAUGUCACUACCAUACAAGAGAUUUGCUGAGAAGAAUUAAUGAAGAGUCCAUUUUGUGAACAAACCUGUUUCGCAGAAGGAGUCAGCGAAGUUCAGAAUGUCUAACUGUGGUUUGAUGAAUCAUGACUUUAAAAUUUGCCACAGGGUGAGGAAGAGGGGGAGGGAGACUUGCCGGGGAUUGCAUGAUCCUGUCGAAACUUAAGUAAGGAAAAGAAAAUGCCAUUCCUUUCCUUGAAUUACCCGUAUUUUUCUUUACUAGGCAGUUCGAGUUUAACGUGACACAUGCUUCAAACUGAAACAUAAACUCUUAAAAACAAAAACAGAAGAAGCUUUUUUCAAGUUACUCAUUUCACUUUAAGGAAAAAUGGUAGAAAAGCCACAUUUUUUUCCACGGGAGGGCACUCGGAAGUGCUUAAAUACUUGUGUCUUGAAGAAACUGCAGUGCUUAACAAAUUACAGUAAAGUUUUUUCAGCUAUUGAAACAUACUAUUCUUUAUUUCUGCUGGUCUCAUGAAGGCUCAGAAAAGACUUUAAGACUGAUUUCUAGGGCAAGGCAUUCUCUGCCUUUGAGCUUUUCUCUGUGGAAAUUCUAUUCAUAUUUUAAGACACAGCUCAAAAGCCAAUCCUCUAUAGCAUAACUUCAAAUCUCCACAGAAAGGAGUGUUGCUUCUCAGGAAAGCAAACAGCACAUUGGUUGGAUCUUGAAUACAGAAUCGUUUCACUUGAAUGUUUAGUGUACCUAUUUUUAUAUUGUCGCUCUCCCCUACUAGAUCAAGUUUCUGCAGGAUGCAUUCUUAUUCGUUCUCAAAUUGUCCACAGGGCUGUGCAAGUUGUAGGGGUACACACACUGAAAAGCAAACAUUUAUUCAAUUAUUUAGCAAAAUAAUUCAGCUCUACAGUCACGAUGUGUGAGCUCUCCAACAAAUGUUAGCAAUCACAUGUACUAGGUCCUCUUCCAAGCAGUGGGGACUUGGUGAAAAACAGGACAAAAAUCUACCACCCUCACAGAACUUACAUUUUAAUGACACAAGUUGUAUUAUGUCAGAGAAUCCACUCCAAAAAAAAAAAAACUUACACUUUUUGUCUCUAUGGAAUUUUUAAAUAAUCUACUCAUUAUAGUGCAGACUUUGAAAUUGCACUUUUGCCUUAUGAGGUAAUUGCAGCCAACAGAUCAUAAAUGGAAGACUGUCUGAUAGUUUAGGUCAUUCUCUUAUAAGCAUAGCCAAUAUCU